UACGUAGGUGGCAAGCGUUGUCCGGAUUUACUGGGUGUAAAGGGAGCGUAGGUGGUUUGGCAAGUCAGAUGUGAAAGCCCGGGGCUCAACCCCGGUAGUGCAUUUGAAACUGCCAAACUAGAGUGCAGGAGAGGUAAGUGGAAUUCCUAGUGUAGCGGUGAAAUGCGUAGAUAUUAGGAGGAACACCAGUGGCGAAGGCGACUUACUGGACUGUAACUGACACUGAGGCUCGAAAGCGUGGGGAGCAAACAGGA
rnacentral:rRNA from 1 species